rnacentral:rRNA from 1 species
GAUGAACGCUAGCGGCAGGCCUAAUACAUGCAAGUCGUACGGCAAACAGUUGCGAGCAAUCGCAACCGGUGGCGAGUGGCGCACGGGUGAGUAACGCGUAUGUAACCUACCCUUCUCCGGGACAUAACUCCGCGAAAGCGGUGCUAAUAUCCCAUACCAACUCAUCAAGACAUCUUCUUGAGUUGAAAGCAGCAAUGCGGUGAAGGAUGGGCAUGCGUCCCAUUAGCUGGUUGGUGAGGUAAUGGCCCACCAAGGCUACGAUGGGUAGGGGUUCUGAGAGGAAAGCCCCCCACACUGGUACUGAGACACGGACCAGACUCCUACGGGAGGCAGCAGUAAGGAAUAUUGGGCAAUGGUCGAAAGACUGACCCAGCCAUGCCGCGUGCAGGAUGAAGGCCCUAUGGGUUGUAAACUGCUUUUAGCCGGGAAUAAACACCCGUUUUAUAACGGGCCCGAAGGUACCGGCUGAAUAAGCAUCGGCUAACUCCGUG